rnacentral:rRNA from 1 species
CCUACCACUCCUACGGAGGCAGCAGUGGGGAAUAUUGCACAAUGGGCGCAAGCCUGAUGCAGCCAUGCCGCGUGUAUGAAGAAGGCCUUCGGGUUGUAAAGUACUUUCAGCAGUGAGGAAGGUGGAUAUGUUAAUAGCAUAUUCAUUUGACGUUAGCUGCAGAAGAAGCACCGGCUAACUCCGUGCCAGCAGCCGCGGUAAUACGGAGGGUGCGAGCGUUAAUCGGAAUUACUGGGCGUAAAGCGCAUGCAGGUGGUUUGUUAAGUCAGAUGUGAAAGCCCGGGGCUCAACCUCGGAAUUGCAUUUGAAACUGGCAAACUAGAGUACUGUAGAGGGGGUAGAAUUUCAGGUGUAGCGGUGAAAUGCGUAGAGAUCUGAAGGAAUACCGGUGGCGAAGGCGGCCCCCUGGACAGAUACUGACACUCAGAUGCGAAAGCGUGGGGAGCAAACAGGAUUAGAUACCCUGGUAG